AAACAUCUUUGGCAAAUGCUUUCGCAGUAGUUCGUCUUUAACAAAUCUAAGAAUUUCACCUCUGACAGUUAAAUACGAAUGCCCCCAACCGUCCCUAUUAAUCAUUACUUCAGUCCUAGAAACCAACAAAAUAGGGCCGAAAUCCUAUCUUAUUAUUCCAUGCUGCAGUAUUCAAGGCGACAAGCCUGCUUGAAACACUCUAAUUUUCUCAAAGUAAAAGUCCUGGAAAAAACUCCUCACAAUGAAGUGUGGAGAAAUCCAGAAGGAUGCUAGAAUUCACCAAGUGCACACCCCUGAGGGCGGACUGGCUGCUUCCAGCAGAAAUCCAACUACGAGCUUUUUAACUGCAACAACUUUAAUAUACGCUAUUGGAGCUGGAAUUACCGCGGCUGCUGGCACCAGACUUGCCCUCCAAUUGUUACUCUGAAAGGGGUUUGGAUUCCUAUCAUUCCAAUCACUAGAAAUGAAAUUUCCAGUGUUGUUAUUUCUUGUCACUACCUCCCUGAAUCAGGAUUGGGUAAUUUGCGCGCCUGCUGCCUUCCUUAGAUGUGGUAGCCGUUUCUCAGGCUCCCUCUCCGGAAUCGAACCCUAAUUCCCCGUUACCCGUCACUGCCACGGUAGUCCAAUACAGUACCGUCGAAAGCUGAUAGGUCAGAAACUUGAAUGAUCCGUCGCAGACCGAAGUCAACGCGAUCCGUUCGGUUACUAUGAAUCACCUGAGGACCACCGGAAGGUGGGUUGGUUCUGUAUCUAAUAAACACUGCCCUUCCAGGGGAAGAGGCAUGUGCGCAUGUAUUAGCCAUAGAAUUACCACGGUUAUCCAUGUAGUAAAGACCAUCAAAUAAACUAUAACUGUUUUAAUGAGCCAUUCGCAGUUUAGCCGUAUAAAAGCUUAUACUUAGACAUGCAUGGCUUAAUCUUUAAGACAAGCAUAUGA